rnacentral:lncRNA from 1 species
AAAUGAAACGCAGCUAUUGACGACAAGCCAAAUGGGCGAUGCAUCUGGCAGCUCUGUGAGGUGUGCAUCGGCAACCCUCUGCUCCGUGAAGGCGACACCUGCUCUUACUUUGCCCAGCUCUUCAAAGUGAAACGGACAAGCAGCUGUCAGGUCAGCCCCCCAUUGCAGAGCUUGAAGCCAUCAAGAGCAGUGAUAUAUUUGCCUUGUUCUGGGGGCAGGCUUUCUGCCGACGCGGGAGAUCACAUAAAUACCUUCAGACCAGCAUAUCUGAGUCGUCAAUCUGUUAUAAUUUCCAUUAAGUUAUCUCAGAGGUCUUCUCCAUCACAAGACAGCAAAAGCUGGACAUUUACUUCUUUAUUAAAUGCAAGAAGAUGCGCACGCCCUGCCUCGUCCCUGGUGUGCGUUUCUGUGGGGACCAGUGGAGACUCUCAUUCAACAUCAGUCAGCCUGCAAUCUUCUCAUCACUCUUCAAUUUGGACCCCCCCCCCCCGAAAAAAGGCUAUUCAGACAAAAAUUCUCAGAUUUCAGAUGUUAUGGUAGAUGUGGGUGGUACAUCGUGGAAUAGUUUUUCUCCAUGUUACUCAUGCCCUCAAGUUUUUGACAGAAUAAAGACUUUAGCAAGCCAC